rnacentral:rRNA from 1 species
CCAAACCCCUGUGAACAUACCUAUCGUUGCCUCGGCGGUGCCCGCUCCGGCGGCCCGCCAGAGGACCCCCAAACUCUUGUUUUAUACAGUAUCUUCUGAGUAACACGAUUAAAUAAAUCAAAACUUUCAACAACGGAUCUCUUGGUUCUGGCAUCGAUGAAGAACGCAGCGAAAUGCGAUAAGUAAUGUGAAUUGCAGAAUUCAGUGAAUCAUCGAAUCUUUGAACGCACAUUGCGCCCGCCAGUAUUCUGGCGGGCAUGCCUGUUCGAGCGUCAUUUCAACCCUCAAGCCCCCGGGCUUGGUGUUGGGGAUCGGCGUGCCCUCGCGGCGCGCCGUCCCCUAAAUCUAGUGGCGGUCUCGCUGUAGCUUCCUCUGCGUAGUAGCAACACUCGCACUGGAUCGCAGCGCGGCCACGCCGUUAAACCCCCCACUUCUGAAAGUUUGACCUCGGAUCAGGUAGGAAUACCCGCUGAACUUAAGCAUAUCAAUAAGCGGGAGGAA